rnacentral:rRNA from 1 species
AUUGAACGCUGGCGGCAGGCUUAACACAUGCAAGUCGAGCGGUAGCAGUCCUUCGGGAGCUGACGAGCGGCGGACGGGUGAGUAAUGCAUGGGAAUCUGCCCGGUAGAGGGGGAUAGCUCGGGGAAACUCGAAUUAAUACCGCAUACGCCCUACGGGGGAAAGCAGGGGAUCUUCGGACCUUGCGCUAUCGGAUGAGCCCAUGUCGGAUUAGCUAGUUGGUAGGGUAAAGGCCUACCAAGGCGACGAUCCGUAACUGGUCUGAGAGGAUGAUCAGUCACACUGGAACUGAGACACGGUCCAGACUCCUACGGGAGGCAGCAGUGGGGAAUAUUGGACAAUGGGGGCAACCCUGAUCCAGCCAUGCCGCGUGUGCGAUGAAGGCCUUCGGGUUGUAAAGCACUUUCAGUGGGGAGGAAAGGUGCCGUGCUAAUAUCGCGGUGCUGUGACGUUACCCACAGAAGAAGCACCGGCAAACUCCGUGCCAGCAGCCGCGGUAAUA